GAUGAAGAACGUAGUGAAAUGCGAUAAGUAAUGUGAAUUGCAGAAUUCAGUGAAUCAUCGAAUCUUUGAACGCACCUUGCGCUCCUUGGCAUUCCGAGGAGCAUGCCUGUUUGAGUGUCAUUAAAUUCUCAAGACCUGUCUGCUUUUUUGAUAGGUAUUGGAUUUUGGGGGUUGCAGGCUGUUUCAAAUAAAUAGCCUUGCUCUCCUUGAAUGUAUUAGUGGAGAAAAGCCAUUGAACUCCAUUGGUGUGAUAAAACCUAUCAAUGCCAGGAGCAAUAUCACUACUUCUCUCUGCUGUCUAACUGUGACUGUCUGUAUUAAUUAGUAUGGAUGGGGACAACUUGACCAACUUGACCUCAAAUCGGGUAGGACUACCCGCUGAACUUAAGCAUAUCAAUAAGCGGAGGA
rnacentral:misc_RNA from 1 species